GAACCUUCAGCCAGCAGUCAUGUACAAGUGACUCAACUCGUGCAGGAUUCCCACAGGCGCAGGACAAAGGCAGCAGUGAAGACAAACCAGACCAACAGUGCCUAAAGUUUUGACAGAGUUCUGGCAAAUACUACUGGAAUUUACUUUAGUCUUCAAACAGCAUUUCAGAACUGGGACUUUGUUACCACAAAGAUAUAUAAUGGAAUUUCUCAGCUGGUAAAUAGAGCACCCCUCAAAACUGAGACCAGCAGCAAAGGGCAUCCAUUACAGAUUCCCGUGGAAGUCUUCAGCCUGCUGAGGGUGCUGUUCAUCACAGGGAGACUUCAACACCGCCUCCAUCACAAAACAACUCUCGACUAAAAAAAAAAUCCAAGACUCCGAGGGCCACUUCUGGACACCUGGGGGAGCAAGCAUAUCUGGGCCAAGAGGCAGGAGCCGUCUCUUUGGAGCCCCGUUUUUGUGCGGGAGCGUUGGUGCAGAGGGCCUGGGACGCUGCUGGAAGGGGACUGGAGGCGGUUCCAGUCUCACAGGUAAAUUUUACUGAGGAAGAAAUGCCAGACUGUUCUCCUGUACUCCUCUCCUCCAGAGCAAAGAUGUACAGCAGAGACUCUCCAUGGAAGCCUUCCAGAGCAGAAUAUAUCAGGAACAAUUGCCUGAAGUGCCCCAGUUGGAAUCUGAACAUCUGUAUUGAGUUACUGCAUUCCAAAAUCGGACACAAAGCUGAGAAAAUAAGCUCCCUUGAGGAGGAAUCAGACACAUAGUUGGAAUAAUUUUCCUGAGUUGUAUGGCUCAGGAAUCAGCUGCCUUUUCUAAUUUCCAUCCGGGUUGAAGUGAGUAAGGACUUCUCAGGAGAGUAAUUCACAAUAAAUCCAUGCUUGGACAAGCUCUAAAUCCAGCACCAGUGGAGUGUCUGCACAUUCCUCUCUGGCAGUUUUUAUGGGGAAU